UGGACAUUUACUUCAGCCAGUUUCUUCUUAAGGUGAAGAAAACUCUUUGUAAAUGUCCUAGAGAAAUAUAGUAGCUUCUUUCUGUUCACCCUUUGCAAGUGGAAAGGGUGGAUCGUUUCUCUAUUGACAUAU